rnacentral:rRNA from 1 species
GAUGAACGCUGGCGGCGUGCCUAAUACAUGCAAGUCGAGCGAACGGACGAGAAGCUUGCUUCUCUGAUGUUAGCGGCGGACGGGUGAGUAACACGUGGAUAACCUACCUAUAAGACUGGGAUAACUUCGGGAAACCGGAGCUAAUACCGGAUAAUAUUUUGAACCGCAUGGUUCAAAAGUGAAAGACGGUCUUGCUGUCACUUAUAGAUGGAUCCGCGCUGCAUUGGCUAGUUGGUAAGGUAACGGCUUACCAAGGCAACGAUGCAUAGCCGACCUGAGAGGGUGAUCGGCCACACUGGAACUGAGACACGGUCCAGACUCCUACGGGAGGCAGCAGUAGGGAAUCUUCCGCAAUGGGCGAAAGCCUGACGGAGCAACGCCGAGUGAGUGAUGAAGGUCUUCGGAUCGUAAAACUCUGUUAUUAGGGAAGAACAUAUGUGUAAGUAACUGUGCACAUCUUGACGGUACCUAAUCAGAAAGCCACGGCUAACUACGUG